rnacentral:rRNA from 1 species
UACGUAGGGUGCAAGCGUUAAUCGGAAUUACUGGGCGUAAAGCGUGCGCAGGCGGUUUUGUAAGUCUGUCGUGAAAUCCCCGGGCUUAACCUGGGAAUGGCGAUGGAGACUGCAAGGCUAGAGUUUGGCAGAGGGGGGUAGAAUUCCACGUGUAGCAGUGAAAUGCGUAGAGAUGUGGAGGAACACCGAUGGCGAAGGCAGCCCCCUAGGUCAAAACUGACGCUCAUGCACGAAAGCGUGGGGAGCAAACAGG